rnacentral:rRNA from 1 species
UACGUAGGGUGCGAGCGUUAAUCGGAAUUACUGGGCGUAAAGCGUGCGCAGGCGGUUCGUUAAGUUCGAUGUGAAAGCCCCGGGCUCAACCUGGGAACUGCAUUGGAAACUGGCGAGCUUGAGUGCGGCAGAGGGGGGUGGAAUUCCGCGUGUAGCAGUGAAAUGCGUAGAGAUGCGGAGGAACACCGAUGGCGAAGGCAGCCCCCUGGGCCGACACUGACGCUCGGGCACGAAAGCGUGGGGAGCAAACAGG